rnacentral:lncRNA from 1 species
CCAACGAGCUCGUCAUGGCCGAGUCAAUUAAGCGCCAGCUCGUUGUCUCCGAACAAUCUGUCGGUGCCUCUCUUGAUCUCCAGAUGAUUUUAAUCUCCGUCGAUCCCUCUCCUGAUCUUCCAAUGAUUCUAAUCUCCUGAUCCAUCGACCCCUCUCUUAAUCUCCAUCUCCAGACUAUCUGUUGACACCUCUGUCUCCAAACUAUAUGUUGACACCUCUAUCUCCAGAUGAUCUGUCUUCAUCUUCGUCUGCU